rnacentral:rRNA from 1 species
AGCGUCGAUGUCGAUUUGGCGCUUGUGCCCUUGAGGCGUGGCUUCCGGAGCUAACGCGUUAAAUCGACCGCCUGGGGAGUACGGCCGCAAGGUUAAAACUCAAAUGAAUUGACGGGGGCCCGCACAAGCGGUGGAGCAUGUGGUUUAAUUCGAUGCAACGCGAAGAACCUUACCUGGUCUUGACAUCCACAGAACUUUCCAGAGAUGCUUUGGUGCCUUCGGGAACUGUGAGACAGGUGCUGCAUGGCUGUCGUCAGCUCGUGUUGUGAAAUGUUGGGUUAAGCCCCCGCAACGAAAACGG